UUUGAUCCUGGCUCAGAAUCAACGCUGGCGGCGCGCCUAACACAUGCAAGUCGAACGAGAAAGCAGGAGCAAUCUUGUGAGUAAAGUGGCGUACGGGUGAGUAACACGUGGAUCAUCUACCUCUUUGUGGGGGAUAACCCUGGGGAACCGGAGCUAAUACCGCAUAAGUCCGAGAGGAGAAAGCAGCAAUGCGCAGAGAGAGGAGUCCGCGGCCGAUUAGCUAGUUGGUAGGGUAAAAGCCUACCAAGGCUACGAUCGGUAGCCGGCCUGAGAGGGCACACGGCCACACUGGCACUGAAACACGGGCCAGACUCCUACGGGAGGCAGCAGUGGGGAAUCUUGCACAAUGGGGGCAACCCUGAUGCAGCGACGCCGCGUGAGCGAUGAAGCCCUUCGGGGUGUAAAGCUCUUUCGGCAGGGAAGAUUAUGACGGUACCUGCAGAAGCAGCUGCGGCUAACUACGUGCCAGCAGCCGCGGUAAUACGUAGGCAGCGAGCGUUGUUCGGAGUUACUGGGCGUAAAGGGUGUGUAGGCGGUCUUCUAAGUCUGGUGUGAAAUCUCCCGGCUCAACUGGGAGGGUGCGCCGGAAACUGGGGGGCUAGAGUGCCGGAUGAGAGAGUGGAAUUCCUGGUGUAGCGGUGAAAUG
rnacentral:rRNA from 1 species